CUGACGACAGAAAUGAUUUGAUGUACGAUGUGAGUCUAAAUGUAGUUUUCAUGCAGAUUCGUUCAUACGACACAAAGACACACUUUUGUUUUACGGAUCAUUUCAUCUUAGAGGACUGGGGUCAGAAGCUCAGGAAAAGUACAAAACUGCUCACAUAGGCACCAAACAGUAUUGAAAGGGCCUUCGGGUUUUGGAAGCGAACCUUUCAUGUCCUUCAUGGUGAGAUUGGAAUGAAGCCUGCCAAGGUCAGCCGCAUCAUCAUUGCCUGUGCUGUUCUUCAUAAUCUGCGGUUGAUGUGGGGUAACCAGCAGUGGAUCCGGAACCUUUAGAAGAGGUUGCCAAGGGAGAAAUGUUUCAGGCUGUAUCGGAUGGGAGAAGAGUAAGAGAUACCAUUAUCGCAAAUUACUUUACUUAUGAAAUUAACAGAUUAAAUAUAAAUGUUUUCAUUAUAUUUGUGCUUGUAUAUC